ensembl:lincRNA
UGGAAAUGUCACUAGUUUAAAAUCAGUGGAGUUGCUUUUGUUCUUUUUUAUCCAUGAUCAAAUUGGUUUGAUUUGGUCCCAAGUACUUUAUAGUAACCUCCCAAGUACAGGAGACUGAAUGGGAGAAACCUCAUGGAGCACAGUGGUGCUCUUAAAGUUCUGGAAACUGCGUUGCUAGGAAACAACUUUACCACCAGUUCAGUUUCAACUUGGAGCAUCUGCUUCAUUUGAAGUGUGGCUUCCAGGCAGUAUAGAUUGCACUGCGCAUCGGGGAGGGGGAAAAAGCAAAAGAAAAACCAAUUACUUUCUAAAAGCAACAACAAUGCUAACAGCCUUGAAAGGAGAGAGUCUUAUGCUAUAUUUGUAAUUAUACCCUUUGGAAAGUGUUGCUGGAGGGUGUCUGUCUGCUAACUCAUAAAGCUGAAGUCCAAAAUAGCAAGAGGAAUCACUCAGAUACAGGACCCAAAGACAGGGAGAAAGAUUUUAUCACGUAUGCAAGGCAUAGAUUAGAACUUCCCUUCUGCCUGUUCCGUAUGUCAUCGCCUCAUGAUGGUCUGUGACAGCAUAAACAACGCAGAGAGUGGAAACUCAAGGGUCCCAGCACCACUUUUCAAAGCACAUGAGCUUAAAUAAAUAGCAAUGUUUCAAGUGUUCCACAUGGAGAAAAAUAAAGUUCUAUACUGAUAAAAGGAAUGUGCCAUGACCUUCGUCCAGUGAAAGCAGAGGGGGUUCUUAUUUUUACGACAACAAGCCCAGGUCCUGAAAAGAUUUGGUGUCUAAAUAUAGAAGAAAUGGCCUAGGAGCCAUGAAAAACAAAGCAAAUAUUUGACUUGGAUUGCUGAAGCCCCCAAGGUAUUUAGAAAAAGCAAACCAAGCACCGAACCCUCAACACUGGCUUCAGGAAGUGCCUCAAGUUCCAGCCACAAGUGCCAAUCACGGAGGAAACAGGCCACUCUGAACCACGGUCAGCAGAAGCAUCCACAGGCUGGAGUCCUCUGUCCUUCCUGUUAUCAGAUUCUCCACUCCUACAUCCAAACACUCUGGAUCUGCCGUGUGCCAGUGGGUGACAAGUCCAUCAACAGCAGGAGGCUGACUGUAGAAGCUACAGCAUUAUGAAGCUUUCAAGGUCACCUUACCCUUCUCAUUCUUGUUCUUUCUUUUAAUUUCAAGAGGCAGCCAGCACAUUAUUUAAUAUGAGGGUGAUUAGCAGAAGUGAAAGACAAAUAAUCACAGAGGGCAGAAACAUAAAGUAGGUUGUUUAGAGGGAAAAUGUGCUUCUCAGUAGGUUGACAUUUUCUAUUCAUUUCUACCAAGUUUCAAGCAGUGGUUUACCAAGAGUCCUAGCUCGAGGAAAGAGUGUAUCUACCAGUAAUCGGAUCUUCUAAAGACAACCUGUGUCUGCCGGAGUUCUGGCGAGCACCCAGACUACGACAAACCAAAAUGUUAAAUGUUAAUGGGAAAAUCAUGCAUCAUAGCAAGUAAAACUAUGGCAGGCCUGAGUGAAUGUGCUUUUGGGUAGUAGCUGAUCAAAGAAUGGAUUUUAUUGUACAUUUUGAAAAUGUAUGUUACUGACCAAAGUCACAAAAAGUACUAAAAUGAGUCAAUCCUUCUGCAGCAAGAGACCCUUAUGUUGAGAAUUAUAUGUGUAUUUUUAAAAAAUUUCCUCAGUAUUGGUUUUUAAUAAAAUUUUGUUCCGUAAAAUUACACUAGUGCUAGGAAUUUCCAUAACCUCAGAGUUUACUGUAUCAUUUGAACUUUUG